AGCUCAGAUGCAGAUUUGCAUGGAGGCUCCGCCCUCCUCUGAGGCAGAGUGAGUAAGACAGGGCUGGGGCCAGGCCCAGUGCUGGGGUCUCUGGAGGCAGCGCUCUCAGGACGUCCCCACCAUGGCCUGGGCUCUGCUCCUCCUCACCUUCCUCACUCAGGGCACAGGGUCCUGGGCUCAGUCUGCCCUGACUCAGCCUCGCUCAGUGUCUGGGUCUCCUGGACAGUCGGUCACCAUCACCUGCACUGGAACCAGCAGUGAUGUUGGGGGUUAUAACUAUGUCUCCUGGUACCAGCAGCACCCAGGCACAGCCCCCAAACUCAUGAUUUAUGAUGUCAGCAGUCGGCCCUCAGGGGUCCCUAAUCGCUUCUCUGGCUCCAAGUCUGGCAACACGGCGUCCCUGACCAUCUCUGGGCUCCAGGCUGAGGACGAGGCUGAUUAUUACUGCAGCUCAUAUACAAGCAGCAGCACUCUCCACAGUGGUCCAGGUUCAUGGGGAACUGAGACCAAAACCUUCCCUGGGCUCUCAGGCUCCCUCCUUGCUCUGAAGAUGCUUCCUCACCCUGUGCCAGGGGCUUCCUGCAUUGCUGCCUUGAGAGUUCCCCUCUCAGCCCCUCUCCUUUCCCACCAUGAAGUCCAUAAGUGA